rnacentral:rRNA from 1 species
CCUACGGGUGGCUGCAGUGAGGAAUAUUGGUCAAUGGGCGAGAGCCUGAACCAGCCAAGUCGCGUGAGGGAAGACGGUCCUAUGGAUUGUAAACCUCUUUUGCCGGGGAGCAAAAAGCGGUACGUGUACCGCAUCGAGAGUACCCGGAGAAAAAGCAUCGGCUAACUCCGUGCAAGCAGCCGCGGUAAUACCGAGGCUGCGAGCGUUAUCCGGAUUUAUUGGGUUUAAUGGGUGCGCAGGCGGCGAGUAACGUCGGCGGUAAAAUUUCGGGGCUCAACCCCGACGAGCCGUUGAAACUGGCUUGCUAGAGUGGGCGAGAGGUAUGCGGAAUGCGUGGUGUAGCGGUGAAAUGCAUAGAUAUCACGCAGAACUCCGAUUGCGAAGGCAGCAAACCGGCGCCCAACUGACGCUCAGGCACGAAAGCGCGGGUAUCGAACAGGAUUAGAUACCCCUGUAGUC